rnacentral:rRNA from 1 species
AGAGAGAGACAUGCGCGCAUAUCAAUAAGCGGAGGAAAAGAAACUAACUAGGAUUCCCUCAGUAACGGCGAGUGAAGCGGGAAGAGCUCAAAUUUGAAAUCUUCAAGGUUCUACCUUGACGAAUUGUAGUUUAAAGAAGUGUUUUCUGUUGGAGUUUUGGUAAAAGUUCUUUGGAAUAGGACAUCAUAGAGGGUGAGAAUCCCGUAUUUGACCAUUAUUUCCAGCUUUGUGAUACACUUUCAAAGAGUCGGAUUGUUUGGGAAUGCAGUCCAAAAUGGGUGGUAAAUUUCAUCUAAAGCUAAAUAUUGGCGAGAGACCGAUAGCGAACAAGUACCGUGAGGGAAAGAUGAAAAGAACUUUGAAAAGAGAGUUAAACAGUACGUGAAAUUGUCAAAAGGGAAGCGUUUGACACCAGUGUUGUUUUCUCGAAAAUCAAUUAAAAAAGGCAGGAUUUUGUGUUGUAUUGACUUUAUCAGCUUUCUGCACUCUUUUCUUGUCUUUUUUAAUGCACUUUUCGUUUAACAAGUCAACAUCAAUUUCUUUUGUUGUAAAAGGGUCAUUGGAAGGUGGCUUUCUUUUCGGAGAAAGUGUUUAUAGCCUUUGGCCUCUGCAAUCGGAGAGAUUGAGGUCUGCAGCGUAGAUCCUUCGGGGUUAGAUACAUUUGUGCUAAGUUAUAGCCUUUUCAUAGACAACUUGUUGACUAUGAUCAGUCAUGUAGCUUACUCGCUUAUGCUAUUUUACCUACGCUUAGGAUGUUGAUGUGAUACUGCGAGC